CACUUUGAGCCAACUCUAGCCCUAAUCUCAUACAAUUAUAAUAACUAAACAUAAUAACCAAAUCAUUUACCCACUAUAAAAGUAUAGGAGAUAGAAAUUAUAUUCCAGGCGCAAUAGAUACAGUACCGUAAGGGAAAGACAAAAAAUCAACAAAGCACAAUAAAGCAAAGACAAACUCUUGUACCUUCUGCAUAAUGAAUUAACUAGAAAUAACUUUAUAUAGAGAACUUCAACAAUGCUCCCCGAAACCAAGCGAGCUACCCAAGGACAGCUAAAAGAGCACACCCAUCUAUGUGGCAAAAUAGUGGGAAAAUCUAUGGGUAGUGGCGACAAACCUACCGAGCCUGGUGAUAGCUGGUUGUCCAAGACAGAAUUUUAGUUCAACCUUAAAUUUACUUACAGAACUAUUUAAUCCUCCCGUAAAUUUAAUCGUUAGUCUAAAGAGGGACAGCUCCUUAGACCCUAGGAAACAACCUUUAUAUAGAGAGUAAAACGCCCCACCACCAUAGUUGGCCUAAAAGCAGCCAUCAAUUAAGAAAGCGUUCAAGCUCAACACUCACCUUUCAUUAAUCUCACUCAACAUACUGAACUCCUAAAGCACAUUGGACUAAUCUAUUACUUAAUAGAAGCAAUAAUGUUAAUAUAAGUAACAUGAAACUAUUCUCCCCGCAUAAGCUUAUCUCAGACCGAAACAACUACCGUUAGUUACCAGCUCAAUCAUUAUAUACCACAACCUAAUCAACCCAUUAAACAAACUGUUAACCCAACACAGGUAUGCAUCCAGGAAAGAUUAAAAAAAGUAAAAGGAACUCGGCAAACUCUAACCCCGCCUGUUUACCAAAAACAUCACCUCUAGCAUUACUAGUAUUAGAGGCACUGCCUGCCCAGUGACACAUGUUUAACGGCCGCGGUACCCUGACCGUGCAAAGGUAGCAUAAUCACUUGUUCUCUAAAUAGGGACUUGCAUGAAUGGCCACACGAGGGUUUAACUGUCUCUUACUUUUAAUCAGUGAAAUUGACCUAUCCGUGAAGAGGCGGAUAUAACUAAAUAAGACGAGAAGACCCUAUGGAGCUUCAAUUUAAUAAUACAAACAAAUAUCUUAAAACCCACAGGCACUAACCCACCGUCAAUGUAUUAUAAAUUUUGGUUGGGGUGACCUCGGAGCACAGCACAACCUCCGAAAAACUUAUACCAAGACCUCACUAGUCUAAGUAAUUUACACUUAUUGACCCAAUAACUUGAUCAACGGACCAAGUUACCCUAGGGAUAACAGCGCAAUCCUAUUUUAGAGUUCAUAUCGACAAUAGGGUUUACGACCUCGAUGUUGGAUCAAGACAUCCUAAUGGUGCAGCCGCUAUUAAGGGUUCGUUUGUUCAACGAUUAAAGUCUUACGUGAUCUGAGUUCAGACCGGAGAAAUCCAGGUCGGUUUCUAUCUAUUAAACAUUUCUCCCAGUACGAAAGGACAAGAGAAAUGGAGCCUACCUCACAAGGCGCUCCCAUAAAUCAAAUGAUUAUAAUCUUAAUUUCACAAAUUAUUACCCCUGCCCAAGAAC
rnacentral:rRNA from 1 species